UACAGCAGCCACAUCACCCUGCAACUCACAACUGGCAGUCCCACUGAAGCUCAGCAGGUGUGAGCCUGGUCAGUACCUGGAUGGGAGACCUCCUGGGAAAAAAACUAAGGUUGCAGCUGGAA
rnacentral:rRNA from 1 species